rnacentral:rRNA from 1 species
CCUACGGGUGGCAGCAGUGAGGAAUAUUGGUCAAUGGCCGCAGGCCUGAACCAGCCAAGUCGCGUGAGGGAUGACGGUCCUAUGGAUUGUAAACCUCUUUUGUCAGGGAACAAAGGGCGCCACGUGUGGCGUUUUGCGAGUACCUGAAGAAUAAGCAUAGGCUAACUCCGUGCCAGCAGCCGCGGUAAUACGGAGGAUGCGAGCGUUAUCCGGAUUGAUUUGGUUUAAAGGGUGCGCAGGCGGGAUGUCAAGUCAGCGGUAAAAGUUCGGGGCUCAACCCCGACGGGCCGUGGAAACUGGCGGGCUUGAGUGCGGGAGAGGUAGGCGGAACUCGAGGUGUAGCGGUGAAAUGCAUAGAUAGCACGAAGAACGCCGAUUGCGAAGGCAGCAUACUGGCGUGCAACUGACGCUGAGGCACGAAAGCGUGGGUAUCAAACAGGAUUAGAUACCCGAGUAGUC